CAGUUCUGUCGAGGGGACAAGCUCAUGAAAGACCUGCCUGAGCCGGAUGACUAUGCUGAAGAGGAGCAAGACUGGACACUGCUGUUUGGCCGUCUGCGCCAGGGCAAGGACCAGGAGGAGGUGGAACAUGACCUGCUAGGCCUGCUCAAGUUGCUCUACAAGCGCCUCAAGGGCCUCAAGAAGCAACUCAAGGACAUUCACAAGAUCAAGGAUCCGCAAGAAGAGACAGGCCCUUCUGGACUUCCAGAUGGAGCUUGGCAAAUUGGAGGGUGAAGUUGGACAGCUGAGUGCCAACCUGCCCGUCGACCUGAUUAGCCCCGAUGUCCACCGUGUCGUUAGUGGCUGUCUGUCCUCCAUGAGUGAUGACUCUACGAAAUGAGGGCCAGCGCCCAGGCUGAUUUGGAUGGAUUGCCCAUACCUGAUGUCACCCUGGAGGCUCCCAGUGUGUCCCUCUCUGCUGAUCUGAGCCUGCCCAAGGGAGACGAUGAUGACAGCAAGAAGAAGAAGAAGGAUAAGGAUGACACCUCUGGCAAGUCCAAGAGCUCCUUCUUUGUGGCCUCUUCAAGUUCAAGCUACCCGACUUCUCUGGCUUCAAGUUUGAAGGCAAACCCGUUCUGUCGAGGUGGACAAGCUCAUGAAAGACCUGCCUGAGCCGGAUGACUAUGCUGAAGAGGAGCAAGACUGGACACUGCUGUUUGGCCGUCUGCGCCAGGGCAAGGACCAGGAGGAGGUGGAACAUGACCUGCUAGGCCUGCUCAAGUUGCUCUACAAGCGCCUCAGGGCCUCAAGAAGCAACUCAAGGACAUUCACAAGAUCAAGGAUCCAGCCAAGAAGAGACAGGCCCUUCUGGACUUCCAGAUGGAGCUUGGCAAAUUGGAGGGUGAAGUUGGACAGCUGAGUGCCAACCUCCCGUCGACCUGAUUAGCCCCGAUGUCCACCGUGUCGUUAGUGGCUGUCUGUCCUCCAUGAGUGAUGACCUCACCGAAAUGAGGGCCAGCGCCCAGGCGAUUUGGAUGGAUUGCCCAUACCUGAUGUCACCCUGGAGGCUCCCAGUGUGUCCCUCUCUGCUGAUCUGAGCCUGCCCAAGGGAGACGAUGAUGACAAGGAAGAAGAAGAAGGAUAAGGAUGACACCUCUGGCAAGUCCAAGAGCUCCUUCUUUGUGGCCUCUUCAAGUUCAAGCUACCCGACUUCUCUGGCUUCAAGUUUGAAGGCAAACCCAGUUCUGUCGAGGUGGACAAGCUCAUGAAAGACCUGCCUGAGCCGGAUGACUAUGCUGAAGAGGAGCAAGACUGGACACUGCUGUUUGGCCGUCUGCGCCAGGGCAAGGACCAGGAGGAGGUGGAACAUGACCUGCUAGGCCUGCUCAAGUUGCUCUACAAGCGCCUCAAGGCCUCAAGAAGCAACUCAAGGACAUUCACAAGAUCAAGGAUCCAGCCAAGAAGAGACAGGCCCUUCUGGACUUCCAGAUGGAGCUUGGCAAAUUGGAGGGUGAAGUUGGACAGCUGAGUGCCAACCUGCCCGUUGACCUGAUUAGCCCCGAUGUCCACCGUGUCGUUAGUGGCUGUCUGUCCUCCAUGAGUGAUGACCUCACCGAAAUGAGGGCCAGCGCCCAGGCUGAUUUGGAUGGAUUGCCCAUACCUGAUGUCACCCUGGAGGCUCCCAGUGUGUCCCUCUCUGCUGAUCUGAGCCUGCCCAGGGAGACGAUGAUGACAGCAAGAAGAAGAAGAAGGAUAAGGAUGACACCUCUGGCAAGUCCAAGAGCUCCUUCUUUGGUGGCCUCUUCAAGUUCAAGCUACCCGACUUCUCUGGCUUCAAGUUUGAAGGCAAACCCAGUUCUGUCGAGGUGGACAAGCUCAUGAAAGACCUGCCUGAGCCGGAUGACUAUGCUGAAGAGGAGCAAGACUGGACACUGCUGUUUGGCCGUCUGCGCCAGGGCAAGACCAGGAGGAGGUGGAACAUGACCUGCUAGGCCUGCUCAAGUUGCUCUACAAGCGCCUCAAGGGCCUCAAGAAGCAACUCAAGGACAUUCACAAGAUCAAGGAUCCAGCCAAGAAGAGACAGGCCCUUCUGGACUUCCAGGUAGAGUGUUUCCACUUACUCCUUUCUGCAUUGACUCUCUACGUAGUAGGAUGCCUUCUCUCGGGAAGCAAUGGAUUGGCCUUGGGAU